AGACAGUCACUGAGUUUGGGGGAGGCGUGGGGAGGUGAGAAACAGAACCUGGAGACUUCAGUUUGUGGCAGUGUGUGACGGUGACCGGUUGGGGUGACUAUACUAUUACUGGGAUUAUUUUACUUCAAUAUUACGUUUGCAAGACAAUACAGCGGUACAGUUUUGUGCUCAUACGGCUUAUUAUCGCGUCUGCACAGCGUCUGGAAUGUGCCAGCCUUGAAACAAUCAAGAUCAAGAUUACGUUUCUGUUCAGCGGUAUCCCCUAGCGGCGAGCGUCCACAACAGGCGAGUUUGUUUACAGAAUUGCGUUUCAGGGACUGCGAGAAGCUGUCACAAUUAUUCGUCAUCUGCGACACCAUGGCUCCUAAGAAGACAGACCCCGAUGACAGCGUGGUGAGCGAGGUGGGAGGGGUCAACCAGCGGAGGAGGGGGACGGCGGCAAAUGGGGGGAGCACGACCCUUACUUUGAACCAGUGGUGACCUUGCCAGAAGUCCUGGUGGUCAGUGAUGAUGACCAGGAGGAGGAAAUGAUAAGACUGAGUUUCUACGUUUGGUCAGGCGGUGCAGGCUGUUUCGUUACCACAUCUCCAAGUUGUCCCCUGAGUGGAAGGAACGGGGCACGGGGGACAUUGAGAUUCUGAAGAACAAUUAGAAGAAGGCUGUGGAGUUGGCUCAGCAGCAGAAUUAAUGCCAGUGGCUGGGUUCAGAUCCUCCAAGACACACAGACACACACACAGCAGCCCCUCCACCUCCUCAGCCCCUGACACAGCCCCUGACAGCCCCACAGCCUUCAGACACCACCAAAACACCACCACAGACCUCUCACACAGCCCCACACACCACCACAAGACACACUAGACCCCCAGUCCCCCAGUCCCCCACAGCCCCACAACUCACAGAAAUGAAGCCAAAGGAAGGGACUAUGUUUUGCUUCACCCAGUCCACCCAGUACAGCCUACAGAGAGGGGCUAGUCCCAGUGAAGUCACAGAAUAUAGUCUUGAUUCUUCCUACAGUUUGAAGGUGGUGACACGGAGAGCAGGCGGGGGAAACCUUGGGAGACUUCUGUAGCUCAGCAGCAAAAAUCUCACUGGAACCUCGUGACUGACUGGUGGUGGGGACUGCAGGAACCAACAUUCAGUUGCAUCACCCUUAUGCAGACGUGUCCUGUCUGCAGUCUGUGAUGUCAGGAAGAGCCAAACGGAGGGCACCUGCAGCCAGUGCUGGGCAUCCUGCUGCUGUACAAGUGUCACAAUCCAUGUGCCACAGCAGGUCAUGUCAGUUAACUCUGCCAGUGCAUUGCUGUAUGACUUAAAUAAAUUUGUGACAAUUCUUAUAUAUUUCCCAAAUAAAUUUGUGACAAUUCUUAUAUAUUUCCCAUAUAUGAGUUUGCAUAUAGUGGUGUACUGUAAAAUAUUUGGUGGUAACAGUUCAUGGUGGUAACAGUUCAUGCCCAAGUUUAACAUACAAUUUGCACGUAGAAGCCCUGUCCGAGCAACUCUGGUGUCGCUCGGACGGGGCUUCUUUGUGCAAAUUGUAUGUUAAACUUGGUGUAAAAUUUUGGAGCAAUCCUGGCUUUUUUUUUUACCUGGAGAGCAUGAACUGUACUCCCAGAAAAGUUGUUUAUUUGCCAAAGAUAUUAUUAUGUUCAAAAUGGCAUGUUGAAUUUUUAUUGUUUUACUGCAUCUUUCCAGUGUAUGUCAGUGAGUAAUACACAACAUGAUAUAAUAAACAUG